GAUUGGAGGUUGUGCCCNNNGAGCGUGGCUUCCGGAGCUAACGCGUUAAAUCGACCGCCUGGGGAGUACGGCCGCAAGGUUAAAACUCAAAUGAAUUGACGGGGGCCCGCACAAGCGGUGGAGCAUGUGGUUUAAUUCGAUGCAACGCGAAGAACCUUACCUACUCUUGACAUCCAGAGAACUUAGCAGAGAUGCUUUGGUGCCUUCGGGAACUCUGAGACAGGUGCUGCAUGGCUGUCGUCAGCUCGUGUUGUGAAAUGUUGGGUUAAGUCCCGCAACGAGCGCAACCCUUAUCCUUUGUUGCCAGCGAUUCGGUCGGGAACUCAAAGGAGACUGCCGGUGAUAAACCGGAGGAAGGUGGGGAUGACGUCAAGUCAUCAUGGCCCUUACGAGUAGGGCUACACACGUGCUACAAUGGCGUAUACAAAGAGAAGCGACCUCGCGAGAGCAAGCGGAACUCAUAAAGUACGUCGUAGUCCGGAUUGGAGUCUGCAACUCGACUCCAUGAAGUCGGAAUCGCUAGUAAUCGUAGAUCAGAAUGCUACGGUGAAUACGUUCCCGGGCCUUGUACACACCGCCCGUCACACCAUGGGAGUGGGUUGCAAAAGAAGUAGGUAGCUUAACCUUCGGGAGGGCGCUUACCACUUUGUGAUUCAUGACUGGGGUG
rnacentral:rRNA from 1 species